GGCGAACGGGUGAGUAACGCGUGAGAAACCUGCCUUUCAGUGGGGGACAACAGUUGGAAACGACUGCUAAUACCGCAUAAUGUUAUUUAGGGGCAUCCCUGAAUAACCAAAGCUUUAUGUGCUGAAAGAUGGUCUCGCGUCUGAUUAGCUAGUUGGCGGGGUAACGGCCCACCAAGGCUACGAUGGAUAGGGGUUCUGAGAGGAAGGUCCCCCACACUGGAACUGAGACACGGUCCAGACUCCUACGGGAGGCAGCAGUGAGGAAUAUUGGUCAAUGGCCGGAAGGCUGAACCAGCCAAGUAGCGUGAAGGAUGAAGGUUCUAUGGAUUGUAAACUUCUUUUAUACGGGAAUAAAGCCCGCUACGUGUAGCGGUUUGUAUGUACCGUAUGAAUAAGCAUCGGCUAACUCCGUGCCAGCAGCCGCGGUAAUACGGAGGAUGCGAGCGUUAUCCGGAUUUAUUGGGUUUAAAGGGAGCGUAGACGGGAUGUUAAGUCAGUUGUGAAAGGCUGCGGCUCAACCGCAGCACUGCAGUUGAUACUGGCGUCCUUGAGUGCGGUUGAGGUGUAUGGAAUUCGUGGUGUAGCGGUGAAAUGCUUAGAUAUCACGAAGAACUCCGAUUGCGAAGGCAGUACACUAAGCCGCUACUGACGUUGAGGCUCGAAAGUGUGGGUAUCAAACAGGAUUAGAUACCCUGGUAGUCCACACGGUAAACGAUGAAUGCUCGCUGUUGGCGAUAGACUGUCAGCGGCCAAGCGAAAGCAUUAAGUAUUCCACCUGGGGAGUACGCCGGCAACGGUGAAACUCAAAGGAAUUGACGGGGGCCCGCACAAGCGGAGGAACAUGUGGUUUAAUUCGAUGAUACGCGAGGAACCUUACCCGGGCUUAAAUUGCAGAGGACAGGCGCAGAGAUGUGCUCUUCUUCGGACCUCUGUGAAGGUGCUGCAUGGUUGUCGUCAGCUCGUGCCGUGAGGUGUCGGCUUAAGUGCCAUAACGAGCGCAACCCUUGCCGGUAGUUACCAUCAGGUCAUGCUGGGGACUCUACCGGGACUGCCAUCGUAAGAUGUGAGGAAGGUGGGGAUGACGUCAAAUCAGCACGGCCCUUACGUCCGGGGCUACACACGUGUUACAAUGGGAGGUACAGAAGGCCGCUACCCGGCGACGGGAUGCCAAUCCCCAAAACCUCUCUCAGUUCGGAUUGGAGUCUGCAACCCGACUCCAUGAAGCUGGAUUCGCUAGUAAUCGCGCAUCAGCCACGGCGCGGUGAAUACGUUCCCGGGCCUUG
rnacentral:rRNA from 1 species